UUUUUAUCGGUGUUAGGCACAAGAGCAUUUGAGGCUUUAAGAAAGAAAUCUUAUAAAAAU
rnacentral:tRNA from 1 species